UUUCAAAGCAGCAGCGCCGCAUGGAGCCCAGGGUCAGUGGAGGAAUCCCCAUGUGACCCCGGGCUCCAUGCGGCACUGCUGCUUUGAAA
rnacentral:pre_miRNA from 1 species